rnacentral:rRNA from 1 species
AGCAGCCGCGGUAAUUCCAGCUCCAAUAGCGUAUAUUAAAGUUGUUGCAGUUAAAAAGCUCGUAGUUGAAUUUCGGGAUCAAUACGUCGGUCGUGCUUCGGUACGUACUGGCGUCAUUGAUUUCUCCCUUCUGACGAACCAUGAUGUCAUUAACUUGGUGUCAUGGGAAAUCAGGACUGUUACUUUGAAAAAAUUAGAGUGUUUAAAGCAGGCUCACGCUUGAAUACAUUAGCAUGGAAUAAUGAAAUAGGACGUUCGAUCCUAUUUUGUUGGUUUUAGGAUCAACGUAAUGAUUAAUAGGGAUAGUUGGGGGCAUUAGUAUUCAAUUGUCAGAGGUGAAAUUCUUGGAUUUAUUGAAGACUAACUACUGCGAAAGCAUUUGCCAAGGAUGUUUUCAUUAAUCAAGAACGAAAGUUAGGGGAUCGAAGACGAUCAGAUACCGUCGUAGUCUUAACCAUAAACUAUGCCGACUAGGAAUCGGAUGAUGUUAAUUUUUUAAUGACUCAUUCGGCGCCUUACG